UACGGAGGAUGCAAGCGUUAUCCGGAAUUAUUGGGCGUAAAGCGUCCGUAGGUGGCCGUUCAAGUCUGCUGUCAAAGGCUGGGGCUUAACUCCAGACAGGCAGUGGAAACUGAACAGCUAGAGUGUGGUAGGGGUAGAGGGAAUUCCCGGUGUAGCGGUGAAAUGCGUAGAGAUCGGGAAGAACACCAACGGCGAAAGCACUCUGCUGGGCCGACACUGACACUGAGAGACGAAAGCUAGGGGAGCGAAUGGG
rnacentral:rRNA from 1 species